rnacentral:rRNA from 1 species
AUUGAACGCUGGCGGCAGGCUUAACACAUGCAAGUCGAGCGGAGCGAGGGUGCUUGCACCUUAGCUUAGCGGCGGACGGGUGAGUAAUGCUUAGGAAUCUGCCUAUUAGUGGGGGACAACAUUCCGAAAGGAAUGCUAAUACCGCAUACGCCCUACGGGGGCAAGCAGGGGAUCUUCGGACCUUGCGCUAAUAGAUGAGCCUAAGUCGGAUUAGCGAGUUGGUGGGGUAAAGGCCUACCAAGGAGACGAUCUGUAGCGGGUCUGAGAGGAUGAUCCGCCACACUGGGACUGAGACACGGCCCAGACUCCUACGGGAGGCAGCAGUGGGGAAUAUUGGACAAUGGGCGGAAGCCUGAUCCAGCCAUGCCGCGUGUGUGAAGAAGGCCUUUUGGUUGUAAAGCACUUUAAGCGAGGAGGAGGCUACUUAGAUUAAUACUCUGGGAUAGUGGACGUUACUCGCAGAAUAAGCACCGGCUAACUCUGUGCCAGCCGCCGCCGUAA